rnacentral:rRNA from 1 species
AACGAACGCUGGCGGCAUGCCUAACACAUGCAAGUCGAACGAAGGCUUCGGCCUUAGUGGCGCACGGGUGCGUAACGCGUGGGAAUCUGCCCCUCGGUUCGGAAUAACAGUUAGAAAUGACUGCUAAUACCGGAUGAUGACUUCGGUCCAAAGAUUUAUCGCCGAGGGAUGGGCCCGCGUAAGAUUAGGUAGUUGGUGGGGUAAAGGCCUACCAAGCCGACGAUCUUUAGCUGGUCUGAGAGGAUGAUCAGCCACACUGGGACUGAGACACGGCCCAGACUCCUACGGGAGGCAGCAGUGGGGAAUAUUGGACAAUGGGCGAAAGCCUGAUCCAGCAAUGCCGCGUGAGUGAUGAAGGCCUUAGGGUUGUAAAGCUCUUUUACCAGGGAUGAUAAUGACAGUACCUGGAGAAUAAGCUCCGGCUAACUCCGUGCCAGCCGCCGCAGUAAAAC